CCAAUAGCGUAUAUUAAAGUUGUUGCAGUUAAAAAGCUCGUAGUUGAAUUUCGGGGUCAGUAGGUUGGUCAUGCCACUGGUAUGUACUGGUCUCACUGAUUCCUCCUUCCUGAUGAGCCGUAAUGCCAUUACUUUGGUGUUGCGAGGAAUCUGGACUGUUACUUUGAAAAAAUUAGAGUGUUUAAAGCAGGCUAACGCUUGAAUACAUUAGCAUGGAAUAAUGAAAUAGGACGUUCGAUCUUAUUUUGUUGGUUUCUAAGAUUGACGUAAUGAUUAAUAGGGAUAGUUGGGGGCAUUAGUAUUCAAUUGUCAGAGGUGAAAUUCUUGGAUUUAUUGAAGACUAACUACUGCGAAAGCAUUUGCCAAGGAUGUUUUCAUUAAUCAAGAACGAAAGUUAGGGGAUCGAAGACGAUCAGAUACCGUCGUAGUCUUAACCAUAAACUAUGCCGACUAGGGAUCGGAUGAUGUUAAUUUUUUAAUGACUCAUUCGGCGCCUUACG
rnacentral:rRNA from 1 species